GGAAACCUCACAGAUGUCUGUUCAUCUCAGAUUUGAUGGAGCAGCUGGAGGCCACAGGCUCAGGAUGUAAACUUUUCACUUUAUGUGAAGCCCUCUUUUGGUUCAGGUAGCUGCUCCAAUGCUAUACUUCCACCUACUUUAAAAUGAUGUUUACAUCUCUGUUUUUCUUGGGGUAUGCAGAUGAAUAAGCCAAAAUAGGGUAGUUUGCU
rnacentral:lncRNA from 1 species